rnacentral:rRNA from 1 species
CGUAGGGUGCAAGCGUUAAUCGGAAUUACUGGGCGUAAAGCGUGCGCAGGCGGUUUUGUAAGACAGGCGUGAAAUCCCCGGGCUCAACCUGGGAAUUGCGCUUGUGACUGCAAAGCUGGAGUGCGGCAGAGGGGGAUGGAAUUCCGCGUGUAGCAGUGAAAUGCGUAGAUAUGCGGAGGAACACCGAUGGCGAAGGCAAUCCCCUGGGCCUGCACUGACGCUCAUGCACGAAAGCGUGGGGAGCAAACAGGAUUAGAUACCCUGGUAGUCCACGCCCUAAACGAUGUCAACUGGUUGUUGGGUCUCUUCUGACUCAGUAACGAAGCUAACGCGUGAAGUUGACCGCCUGGGGAGUACGGCCGCAAGGUUG